UGGGGAAUAUUGGACAAUGGGCGCAAGCCUGAUCCAGCAAUGCCGCGUGAGUGAUGAAGGCCUUAGGGUUGUAAAGCUCUUUAGCCCGCGACGAUGAUGACGGUAGCGGGAGAAGAAGCCCCGGCUAACUCCGUG
rnacentral:rRNA from 1 species